rnacentral:rRNA from 1 species
ACGCUAGCUACAGGCUUAACACAUGCAAGUCGAGGGGAAACGGCAUUUAGUGCUUGCACUGAAUGGACGUCGACCGGCGCACGGGUGAGUAACGCGUAUCCAACCUUCCCAUUACUUUGGGAUAACCUGCCGAAAGGCAGACUAAUACCUCAUAGUCUUCGAUGACGGCAUCAGAUUUGAAGUAAAGAUUUAUCGGUAAUGGAUGGGGAUGCGUCUGAUUAGCUUGUUGGCGGGGUAACGGCCCACCAAGGCAACGAUCAGUAGGGGUUCUGAGAGGAAGGUCCCCCACAUUGGAACUGAGACACGGUCCAAACUCCUACGGGAGGCAGCAGUGAGGAAUAUUGGUCAAUGGACGUAAGUCUGAACCAGCCAAGUAGCGUGCAGGAUGACGGCCCUAUGGGUUGUAAACUGCUUUUGUAUGGGGAUAAAGUCAAUCACGUGUGAUUGUUUGCAGGUACCAUACGAAUAAGGACCGGCUAAUACCGUGCCAGCAGCCGCGGUAAUACGGAAGGUUCGGGCGUUAUCCGGAUUUAUUGGGUUUAAAGGGAGCGUAGGCCGGAGAUUAAGUGUGUUGUGAAAUGUAGACGCUCAACGUCUGAAUUGCAGCGCAUACUGGUUUCCUUGAGUACGCACAACGUUGGCGGAAUUCGUCGUGUAGCGGUGAAAUGCUUAGAUAUGACGAAGAACUCCGAUUGCGAAGGCAGCUGACGGGAGCGCAACUGACGCUGAAGCUCGAAGGUGCGGGUAUCGAACAGGAUUAGAUACCCUGGUAGUCCGCACAGUAAACGAUGGAUGCCCGCUGUUGGUACCUAGUAUCAGCGGCUAAGCGAAAGCAUUAAGCAUCCCACCUGGGGAGUACGCCGGCAACGGUGAAACUCAAAGGAAUUGACGGGGGCCCGCACAAGCGG